AACGUAGGAGACAAACGUUAUCCGGAGUUACUGGGCGUAAAGGGCGUGUAGGCGGUUAGUUAAGUCUGGCGUGAAAGCUCUCGGCUAAACCGGGAGAGGUCGUUGGAUACUGGCUGACUAGAGGACGGUAGAGGCGUGUGGAAUUCCGGGUGUAGUGGUGAAAUGCGUAGAGAUCCGGAGGAACACCAGUGGCGAAGGCGACACGCUGGGCCGUACCUGACGCUAAAGCGCGGCAGCAUGGGGAGCAAACGGG
rnacentral:rRNA from 1 species